rnacentral:rRNA from 1 species
UACGUAGGGUCCGAGCGUUGUCCGGAAUUAUUGGGCGUAAAGGGCUCGUAGGCGGUCCGUCACGUCGGGAGUGAAAACUCAGGCUCAACCCUGAGCGUGCUUCCGAUACGGGCGGACUAGAGGUAUGCAGGGGAGAACGGAAUUCCCGGUGUAGUGGUGAAAUGCGUAGAUAUCGGGAGGAACACCAGUGGCGAAGGCGACUUCCUGGCCUGUUCUUGACGCUGAGGCGCGGAAAAGCUAGGGUAGCAAACGGGG